ACACCCAACUAAGUAAUUUUUAUCAUCAUAACCCAUCCAAAAGUUGCCAGCUUCAUGGAGCUGAGCUCAUCUCAUGGUUCUUCCUGUUCCCUGAAGCCAUUCUUCCUUAUGUUUGAGCAUCACUCACAUGACUGGGAUCAAAUAUUACUUCUAAGGUCCCUCCAUACUAGAGAUGCCCUCCUCUCCAGAGACACUUUCAUGUCUAUUUCUGAUACUACACUGUAGAUAACAUGAGAGAUCUACAUCAAAUGUAUCCAAAUUACUUAGAGACGUUUGUGAAAAUAAUGUCACCACUUUCU
rnacentral:lncRNA from 1 species